UCGCCUGUAGAAACCCGCGGCCCCGCAGGCGCCCGGGGGCGCUGGUUGGCUGGGGUCUGCGUGUGGCGGGUUGGGCGCUUGAGUGCUGGGGAACACUCGGAAGUCGUUUUAGCCCCCUUCUGUAUUUUCUUUUAUUAUUGAAUCCUAAAACAGCCCGAAGAAGGAGGGGGGGGGGCGGUAAGGAUUAGGGAUGCUUGCCUCCCAUUCAGAGAUAAGGAAACUGAGGUUCAGAAAGGCUGCCAGACACCAUGAAUCUAUGAGAGCGUCACUUGUUGUCUCUUGCCUCCUUUUCUCUCCCAGCAAAUAUAAUCUGGGGGCACCUGGGCCCCACCAGACCGGCCUCUCUGAUCACACUCAAGGAUUAACAAUCAGCAAACCACUGUCCAAAGUUCUCAUCCAUCUGUCUCUCCAGGGACAGCCAAGCCUGUGGUUGUCGCAACAGGAAAGGAGCCACAUCAGUGGAUGUGUGUGUGGCUCUGUUCCAAUAAAACUUUAUUGAUGGACGCUGCCA